ensembl:lncRNA novel transcript
GGAGGGGCCCGCUCCUGCUUGGUGAGAGAGUCAGCACGCGGUGGCCUGGGUGAACUGUCACCCCUACAACUCAGCUUGCAACCAGCCCUGGCCACCACCAGUUUCCCCACACUGAGCUGAAUAUUGGACAUGCCCAUCUUAGACAUUCCAGCCCAUUCUGAAAUUCCACAUCGAUUCACCCGACAAAGUCUGAAGUUCCAGGGCAAUUUAUCUGGAAAAGCUCACCUGGAAUCAUGUGUCAUUUCAACCAACAACUGUUGAAGAGGACGUGGCAUCAAAACCAAGGUUAUCAAUUAUUUAUAAGGGUUGUGUGGUGGUUGGUCCAAGCAUCUCUCCUUCAUGCCAUCACUCCUUUCAAGAGCUGCCUCUAUUUUCUAAUUUAGCACAGGAAUUUAGAUGCCCCUAAAUAAGUAGGCAUCCAGUAUCUGCCCACACCAGUUUUAGUGAGAGUACAUAUGGAGACACUACCACCACCCCUGCUCUCCUACUGCAUACCCCACCAUGCCAAAGCAUGGUGGCUCACACCUGUAAUCCCAGUGCUUUGGGAGGCCAAAGAGGAGGAACACUUGAGGCCAGAAGUAUGAGACCAGCCUGGGCAACAUAGUGAGACCUCAUUUCUAUAAAUAAGUUAAAAAAACAAAAAAAUAGGGCAUAGUGGUGCACAUGUGUGGUCCCAGUUACUCAGCAGGCUGAGGCUGGAAGAUCACUUGAGCCCAGGAGUUUGAGGCUGCAGUGAGCUAGGAUUAUGCCACUGCACUCUAGCCUGGGCAACAGAGAGAGACCCCAUCUCUAAAAAGAGGGAGAAGAAGGAAGGAGGAGGAAGAAGAGGAAGAGGAGGAGGAGAAAUACUGCUCUUUCUCAGGCCCAAGGUAAAAAGGUUUUUGGUCUCAUGUUGACCAGAAAGACAUUGAUAUUUAAUUAAGCAAUAUAAAAAGGCUCAUUGUUAGGAUUAAAGAGUAAGUAAAAUCAAUAUUGAGAUAGGAGGAUGGAGGACACCAACUGAGUUCCGAUCCCAAUGAAGAGGAGAAAAAGCUACAACUAUCUAGGUGAAAUAUCUACUUAUCCUAGAAGAAGCCUUUUGACAGCAACAUAAAAUUCAUACCUAUAGGUUUUUAAUUCCUAUGGAUGCCGUAGCAAAUAACAAAAACUUGGAUGGUGUAAAGUAACAGAUGUUUACUCUUUUCCAGUAUUGGAGACCAGGAAUCUGAGAUCAAGGUGUGGGCAGGGGUGCGCUCCCCCUGGAGGUUCUAGGAGAGGAUCCUUCCUGCCUCUUCCAGCUCCUGGUGGCUCCAGGUGUCCCUGGGCUUGUGGCCACAUCACUACAUUCUCUGCCUCCAUCUCCACGUGACCUUUUCCUCUGUGUCUGUGUCUCCUCUUCUGUCUCUUAGAAGGACACUGGUCAUUGGAUUUAAAGGCCACCUGGGUAAUUUAUAGUGAUCUAAUCUCAAGAAUCUUUCCUUAAUUACAUGCAAAUACUCUUUAUCCAAAUUAGUUUGCAUUCACAAAUUCUGGAGCUUAGUACUUGGACAUAUAUUUUGGGGGGUUGAUGGUUGGAGGGGCUUUUAUUCAACUCAGUACAUCUUAAUAAGGAAUUAAUGCCCCCCAACUUGCCUUACAAGUCAUAUAUUAAAAACAAUGUUGGCCUGGCACAGUGGCUCAUGCCCGUAAUCUCAACACUUUGGGAAGCCAAGGGAGGAGGAUCACUUGAGCCCAGGAGUUGGAGACCAGCCUGGAUAACAAAGGGAGACCCAGUUUCUACAAAAUAUUUAAAAAUUAGCCAGGCAUGAUGGUGCAUGCCUGUGGUCCUAGCUAUUCAGGAAACUGAGGUGGGAGGAUCACUUGAGCCUGGAAGUUCAAGACAGCAGUGAGCUAUGCUCACACCACUGCACUCCAUCCUGGGCAACAGAGCUGGACUCUGUCUCAAAAAACAUAACACUAAAACAUCAAAAUUAAAAAAAAAAAAACAAUGAAA